rnacentral:rRNA from 1 species
AUACGUAGGGGGCGAGCGUUGUCCGGAAUGAUUGGGCGUAAAGGGCGCGUAGGCGGCCCGGUAAGUCUGGAGUGAAAGUCCUGUUUUUAAGAUGGGAAUUGCUUUGGAUACUGGGGGGCUUGAGUGCAGGAGAGGUUAUCGGAAUUCCCGGUGUAGCGGUGAAACGCGUAGAGAUCGGGAGGAACACCAGUGGCGAAGGCGGGUAACUGGACUGCAACUGACGCUGAGGCGCGAAAGUGUGGGGAGCAAACAGGAUUAGAUACCCUGGUAGUCCACACUGUAAACGAUGAAUGCUAGGUGUAAGAGGUAUCGACCCCUUUUGUGCCGGAGUCAACACAAUAAGCAUUCCGCCUGGGGAGUACGGCCGCAAGGUUGAAACUCAAAGGAAUUGGCGGGG